rnacentral:tRNA from 1 species
UUUUAUAUAGUUUAAAUAAAAACAUUAUAUUUUCAUUAUAAAAACAAAGAUUUAAAUUCUUUUAUAAAAU